rnacentral:rRNA from 1 species
CCUACGGGCGGCAGCAGUGGGGAAUAUUGGACAAUGGGGGCAACCCUGAUCCAGCCAUGCCGCGUGUGUGAAGAAGGCCCUCGGGUUGUAAAGCACUUUCAGUGAGGAAGAACGCCUGGUGGUUAAUACCCAUCAGGAAAGACAUCACUCACAGAAGAAGCACCGGCUAACUCCGUGCCAGCAGCCGCGGUAAUACGGAGGGUGCGAGCGUUAAUCGGAAUUACUGGGCGUAAAGCGCGCGUAGGUGGCUUGAUAAGCCGGUUGUGAAAGCCCCGGGCUCAACCUGGGAACGGCAUCCGGAACUGUCAAGCUAGAGUGCAGGAGAGGAAGGUAGAAUUCCCGGUGUAGCGGUGAAAUGCGUAGAGCUCGGGAGGAAUACCAGUGGCGAAGGCGGCCUUCUGGACUGACACUGACACUGAGGUGCGAAAGCGUGGGUAGCAAACAGGAUUAGAUACCCGGGUAGUC